CCUACGGGGGGCAGCAGUGAGGAAUAUCGGUCAAUGGACGCAAGUCUGAACCAGCCAUGCCGCGUGCAGGAAGACGGCCCUAUGAGUUGUAAACUGCUUUUGUACGAGGGUAAACGCAGAUACGCGUAUCUGUCUGAAAGUAUCGUACGAAUAAGGAUCGGCUAACUCCGUGCCAGCAGCCGCGGUAAUACGGAGGAUUCAAGCGUUAUCCGGAUUUAUUGGGUUUAAAGGGUGCGUAGGCGGUCUGAUAAGUUAGAGGUGAAAUCCCGGGGCUCAACUUCGGAAUUGCCUCUGAUACUGUCCGGCUAGAGAGUAGGUGCGGUAGGCGGAAUGUAUGGUGUAGCGGUGAAAUGCUUAGAGAUCAUACAGAACACCGAUUGCGAAGGCAGCUUACCAAGCUACUUCUGACGUUGAGGCACGAAAGCGUGGGGAGCAAACAGGAUUAGAUACCCCGGUAGUC
rnacentral:rRNA from 1 species